CGAGCGGGCGUAGCAAUACGUCAGCGGCAGACGGGUGAGUAACGCGUGGGAACGUACCUUUUGGUUCGGAACAACACAGGGAAACUUGUGCUAAUACCGAAUAAGCCCUUACGGGGAAAGAUUUAUCGCCGAAAGAUCGGCCCGCGUCUGAUUAGCUUGUUGGUGAGGUAACGGCUCACCAAGGCGACGAUCAGUAGCUGGUCUGAGAGGAUGAUCAGCCACAUUGGGACUGAGACACGGCCCAAACUCCUACGGGAGGCAGCAGUGGGGAAUAUUGGACAAUGGGCGCAAGCCUGAUCCAGCCAUGCCGCGUGAGUGAUGAAGGCCCUAGGGUUGUAAAGCUCUUUUGUGCGGGAAGAUAAUGACGGUACCGCAAGAAUAAGCCCCGGCUAACUUCGUGCCAGCAGCCGCGGUAAUACGAAGGGGGCUAGCGUUGCUCGGAAUCACUGGGCGUAAAGGGUGCGUAGGCGGGUCUUUAAGUCAGAGGUGAAAGCCUGGAGCUCAACUCCAGAACUGCCUUUGAUACUGAGGAUCUCGAGUUCGGGAGAGGUGAGUGGAACUGC
rnacentral:rRNA from 1 species